UCCUGACGCGCAUUCUCGCUCACUCCCUCCCUUGGCUGCGCGCGCCCGGUGGGCGUGGGAGGAGGCGGAGAACGGGGGAGGGGGCGGCUGUCGCGGGAGGAAAGGAGCGAACCGGAGCGCGUCGUCCUGAGAGGAGCGGAGGCGGCAAAAUGGCGGAUCGCUUCUCCCGCUUUAACGAGGACCGAGACUUUCAGGGUAAUCACUUUGAUCAGUUUGAAGAAGGACACUUGGAAAUUGAACAAGCAUCGCUCGACAAGCCUAUAGAAUCGUGUGCACCUAGGAAGAUGACACGUUAUAAUAUUGGACACUGCUGACUCCAGAAACAUGGGUGGAAGCUGGGCCAGGGAUUUGGAAAAUCUCUUCAGGAUUGUGAUGUGAAUGCUGCGUCAGAAAUGAUGGGAAUCAUUUUGCUUCUACAUCUGGUCAUGGAGGGGCUCAUUGUGUAAAGGGAUCUUUGGAGAGAGGUGUGCUACUGUUGACUAAUUCUUUGAAUUUUAGAAAUGGAUUUUCACAGUUUGAAUGUGGAAGUCUACAGCUCAAGUGUGUUAAGAACAAGAAAGAGGACUGGGCAUGAAAUAGGACAUUUCAAUCAUUAACACCUUUGCUUUUUAAAUUCUACUUCUGCAAAUUCUUUUCAGUGGUAACACAUAGGAGAUGCAAAUAAAUAUAUUUUGAUACAGUA